rnacentral:rRNA from 1 species
CAGUCGCCACGGUAAUACAGAGGGUGCAAGCGUUAAUCGGAAUUACUGGGCGUAAAGCGCGCGUAGGUGGUUUGUUAAGUUGGAUGUGAAAUCCCCGGGCUCAACCUGGGAACUGCAUCCAAAACUGGCAAGCUAGAGUAUGGUAGAGGGUGGUGGAAUUUCCUGUGUAGCGGUGAAAUGCGUAGAUAUAGGAAGGAACACCAGUGGCGAAGGCGACCACCUGGACUGAUACUGACACUGAGGUGCGAAAGCGUGGGGAGCAAACAGGAUUAGAUACCCGAGUAGUCCCUGUCUCUUAUAC